ACGCUCGACACCUACGGGAGGCAGCAGUUGGGAAUAUUGGACAAUGGAGGGAAACUCUGAUCCAGUGACGCCGCGUGAAGGAAGAAGGUCUUCGGAUUGUAAACUUAUUUUGUCAGGGAAGAAAAAAUGACUGUACCUGAAGAAAAGCACCGGCUAACUACGUGCCCGCAGCCGCGGUAAUCUGAGCGGGCUGGCAAGGC
rnacentral:rRNA from 1 species